rnacentral:rRNA from 1 species
GAAGCUGCGGCUGGGAUCACCNNCNUAACAUGCAAGUACAACGAUGAAGCCCUUCGGGGUGGAUUAGUGGCGAACGGGUGAGUAACACGUGGGCAAUCUGCCCUUCACUCUGGGACAAGCCCUGGAAACGGGGUCUAAUACCGGAUACGACACACGACCGCAUGGUCUGUGUGUGGAAAGCUCCGGCGGUGAAGGAUGAGCCCGCGGCCUAUCAGCUUGUUGGUGGGGUGAUGGCCUACCAAGGCGACGACGGGUAGCCGGCCUGAGAGGGCGACCGGCCACACUGGGACUGAGACACGGCCCAGACUCCUACGGGAGGCAGCAGUGGGGAAUAUUGCACAAUGGGCGAAAGCCUGAUGCAGCGACGCCGCGUGAGGGAUGACGGCCUUCGGGUUGUAAACCUCUUUCAGCAGGGAAGAAGCGAAAGUGACGGUACCUGCAGAAGAAGCGCCGGCUAACUACGUGCCAGCAGCCGCGGUAAUACGUAGGGCGCAAGCGUUGUCCGGAAUUAUUGGGCGUAAAGAGCUCGUAGGCGGCUUGUCACGUCGGAUGUGAAAGCCCGGGGCUUAACCCCGGGUCUGCAUUCGAUACGGGCAGGCUAGAGUUCGGUAGGGGAGAUCGGAAUUCCUGGUGUAGCGGUGAAAUGCNCAGAUAUCAGGAGGAACACCGGUGGCGAAGGCGGAUCUCUGGGCCCGAUACUGACGCUGAGGAGCGAAAGCGUGGGGAGCGAACANGAUAGAUACCCUGGUAGUCCNCGCCGUAAACGUUGGGAACUAGGUGUGGCGACAUUNCACGUCGUCCGUGCCGCAGCUAACCAUUNAAUUCCCCCNCUGGGGAUUCNGNCGCAGGCUAAANNUNAAGGAAUUGACGGGGGCCCCACAACCACGGACUNUGGUUUAUUCGACCCACCCCAANACCUACAAGUUUNNNUUNCCCGNAACCUGGAANGGGCCCCUUNGUCNGGUAAGGGGGCUGGUNCCCACNCCUNCNAAAUUNGNUAAUCCCNC